CACAUACUCCCUCCGUCCGGAAAUACUUGUCAUCAAAAUGACUAAAAAGAGAUGUAUCUAGAAUUUGUCAUCAAAAUGGAUAAAAGGGGAUGUAUCUAGACAUAUUUUAGUUCUAGAUACAUCUCUUUUUAGUCAUUUUGAUGACAAGUAUUUUCGGACGGAGGGAGUAUGUU
rfam:Triticum urartu cultivar G1812 contig197425, whole genome shotgun sequence.